CUACGGGAUGCAGCAGUGAGGAAUAUUGGUCAAUGGGCGAAAGCCUGAACCAGCCAUGCCGCGUGAAGGAUGACGGCCCUAUGGGUUGUAAACUUCUUUUAUACGGGAAGAAACACCUCUACGUGUAGAGGUUUGACGGUACCGUACGAAUAAGCAUCGGCUAACUCCGUGCCAGCAGCCGCGGUAAUACGGAGGAUGCAAGCGUUAUCCGGAUUUAUUGGGUUUAAAGGGUACGUAGGCGGAAACUUAAGUCAGUAGUGAAAUCCCGCAGCUUAACUGUGGAACUGUUAUUGAUACUGGGUUUCUUGAAUAUUGUUGAGGUAGGCGGAAUAAGUAAUGUAGCGGUGAAAUGCUUAGAUAUUACUUAGAACACCGAUUGCGAAGGCAGUUUACUAAGCAAUUAUUGACGCUGAGGUACGAAAGCGUGGGGAGCGAACAGGAUUAGAUACCCCGGUAGUC
rnacentral:rRNA from 1 species